rnacentral:lncRNA from 1 species
AGUUUCUUUAGGAAUCUUAAAAUACUCUAGAAGUGGGAGGCAGAGACAAGAUGGCAGAUUGAAGCCAAGUGCCCUACCUCCUUGCAUCCUUCAGAUUCCAGACAAGAUAUGAAGUACAGAAACUAUCCUUAAGGGACUCAAAGAAUUCCCUUGAUGAUCUCCCUGGCUCUGAUCCAUGGCCAUUGUCUGAUCUUAUCCUGUGACCUAAUGCUGCCUGACUUCCUGGCAUUUAAGAGCAUGGAGGGAUGAUCUAUGUCUGGAAAAGAGUAACCUGAAGAUAUGACAGGAUGAGUUCUCUGUGGGAGACACAAGACCAUUCUUGUCUGUUUCAUCAACAUCAGAUGUUCCUCUGGAGCAAAUGACAGUAUACCUGAGUCUACCUGAUAUUCUCCACCAUGCCUACAAAUACCCUGGAAUCUCACUUUCUUCCAGAACUUCAGACACUGAAGUACUCUGUGUCCAUGUGGUCUCUCCCUCUGAUUGGUUACUUUCUCCCAGAAGCUCUACUUUAAGGAAAAGGCCCAAGCCAUCUCUCUCUGUCUCUGUCUCUCCUUUCUCUUUCUCUUUCUCUGUAUCUCUGUCUCUCUCUGUCAGUCACUCUCUUUUGUCUUUCUCUCAGGGCAAAAAUUCAUUGCUUAAUAAAGAAACUUCUUUCAAUACAGACAAUAAGGACUUCAAAAAGUUCAAGCAUGAUUACUUAAAUCAAUUAUUUUUUUAUUUUUUUCUUCACUAAAUAAAAUGUUUUUACAUAAAAGCAAAUACAAACAAACUUGUAAUCACAAUUUAUUUAAUGAGAGUGGAUGAGACGGACACCAAAAUAAUUUUAUGAAUUAGAGUAUGGUAAUUGAAAAGCAGUGGUUAACAGAGUGGUUUGGGGUACUCAAGGAGGAGGAGCUGUAUAUGGAGUGAGAAAUCAUGAUUUAGGUGGUUAACCAGCCUUUGAAGAUAAGUAGGAUUCCUAGCUUGGGGAGGUGGGGCAUUGUUCCAUUGUUCCAUUCAAGUGGAGGAGCUGAUUUAUUAAAAAGCAUAGAUGUCUAUGCUUAUGAUGAAGCAUAUGAUGAAAUUGAAAAAC